rnacentral:misc_RNA from 1 species
UCCCUUGCGAGAGCAUACGCUCAACCACAGCGGAGACGUCCAUUUUAUCUUGUUGAGGCUACUUUGCUUUGCAGUCAUGCUGCGUCGAACCACUGCUCGCUUUUACCAGAGCGUGACCGCUCCCAUUGGAAAGGGUUGCGUUGUGCCCAUGAAGUUCGACAGCCUGAAGCCUGCGUACGUGCCCAAGUCCUUCACCACUCAGUUUUUCGUUCUGGGCACAUGGUCGAUUAGCAACAUGAUCACUAACUUUGUGAUCGGGUUCCUCAUCAUCGCCUCCGCCAACGGUGGCUUGAGCGGUGCCUGGCCCCCGGAUCCACACUCUCUUCACCCCUGAAAAGGUGCGUUCUAUGCGCGCCUGCGUCGCUUCGUGUGUCUGCGCCUAUGUGCGUGUGUCUCUUUUCACGUUUGAAGGGAGAGGUAGGAUUUAAACAAAGUGGGCGAUGGACCCUCGUGUCUCCAAGUCGGAGAAGGCCUUCUCCACGCAUUUUUUUGCGGUUUCGUUCCACUAGUACUCGUAGGAUAUUUGCCAGAUAACAAGCGCAGGCAGAGGAAUGAAAUAAAUCUUGGCUGCGGGUGUGUGCUACAUUGGAGCGUUGCGAUACGACACGUGGCCCCUCCCUCUCCUCAUCGCUGGAGGGUUGUGUGUGCAUGCAGGGGAGAGUAGACGCCGACACACAAGCGCACAUGUGGCGCCGUAGCCCUCUUGCCACUGCAGGGAUCGUAAUAGGAGGAGGGCGGCGAAAACGCCAUCUACCUCGACGAUGUGACUUUCUUUGAGGCGCCGACCAG